rnacentral:rRNA from 1 species
AGCGAACGCUGGCGGCAGGCUUAACACAUGCAAGUCGAGCGGGCACUUUCGGGUGUCAGCGGCGGACGGGUGCGUAACGCGUGGGAACGUGCCCUCUGGUUCGGAAUAACUCAGGGAAACUUGAGCUAAUACCGGAUACGCCCUUUUGGGGAAAGGCUUGCUGCCGGAGGAUCUGCCCGCGUCUGAUUAGCUAGUUGGUGAGGUAACGGCUCACCAAGGCGACGAUCAGUAGCUGGUCUGAGAGGAUGAUCAGCCACACUGGGACUGAGACACGGCCCAGACUCCUACGGGAGGCAGCAGUGGGGAAUAUUGGACAAUGGGCGCAAGCCUGAUCCAGCCAUGCCGCGUGAGUGAUGAAGGCCUUAGGGUUGUAAAGCUCUUUUAUCCGGGACGAUAAUGACGGUACCGGAGGAAUAAGCCCCGGCUAACUUCGUG